rnacentral:rRNA from 1 species
AAAUUGAAGAGUUUGAUCAUGGCUCAGAUUGAACGCUGGCGGCAGGCCUAACACAUGCAAGUCGAACGGUAACAGGAAGAAGCUUGCUUCUUUGCUGACGAGUGGCGGACGGGUGAGUAAUGUCUGGGAAACUGCCUGAUGGAGGGGGAUAACUACUGGAAACGGUAGCUAAUACCGCAUAAUGUCGCAAGACCAAAGAGGGGGACCUUCGGGCCUCUUGCCAUCGGAUGUGCCCAGAUGGGAUUAGCUUGUUGGUGGGGUAACGGCUCACCAAGGCGACGAUCCCUAGCUGGUCUGAGAGGAUGACCAGCCACACUGGAACUGAGACACGGUCCAGACUCCUACGGGAGGCAGCAGUGGGGAAUAUUGCACAAUGGGCGCAAGCCUGAUGCAGCCAUGCCGCGUGUAUGAAGAAGGCCUUCGGGUUGUAAAGUACUUUCAGCGGGGAGGAAGGGAGUAAAGUUAAUACCUUUGCUCAUUGACGUUACCCGCAGAAGAAGCACCGGCUAACUCCGUGCCAGCAGCCGCGGUAAUACGGAGGGUGCAAGCGUUAAUCGGAAUUACUGGGCGUAAAGCGCACGCAGGCGGUUUGUUAAGUCAGAUGUGAAAUCCCCGGGCUCAACCUGGGAACUGCAUCUGAUACUGGCAAGCUUGAGUCUCGUAGAGGGGGGUAGAAUUCCAGGUGUAGCGGUGAAAUGCGUAGAGAUCUGGAGGAAUACCGGUGGCGAAGGCGGCCCCCUGGACGAAGACUGACGCUCAGGUGCGAAAGCGUGGGGAGCAAACAGGAUUAGAUACCCUGGUAGUCCACGCCGUAAACGAUGUCGACUUGGAGGUUGUGCCCUUGAGGCGUGGCUUCCGGAGCUAACGCGUUAAGUCGACCGCCUGGGGAGUACGGCCGCAAGGUUAAAACUCAAAUGAAUUGACGGGGGCCCGCACAAGCGGUGGAGCAUGUGGUUUAAUUCGAUGCAACGCGAAGAACCUUACCUGGUCUUGACAUCCACGGAAGUUUUCAGAGAUGAGAAUGUGCCUUCGGGAACCGUGAGACAGGUGCUGCAUGGCUGUCGUCAGCUCGUGUUGUGAAAUGUUGGGUUAAGUCCCGCAACGAGCGCAACCCUUAUCCUUUGUUGCCAGCGGUCCGGCCGGGAACUCAAAGGAGACUGCCAGUGAUAAACUGGAGGAAGGUGGGGAUGACGUCAAGUCAUCAUGGCCCUUACGACCAGGGCUACACACGUGCUACAAUGGCGCAUACAAAGAGAAGCGACCUCGCGAGAGCAAGCGGAUCUCAUAAAGUGCGUCGUAGUCCGGAUUGGAGUCUGCAACUCGACUCCAUGAAGUCGGAAUCGCUAGUAAUCGUGGAUCAGAAUGCCACGGUGAAUACGUUCCCGGGCCUUGUACACACCGCCCGUCACACCAUGGGAGUGGGUUGCAAAAGAAGUAGGUAGCUUAACCUUCGGGAGGGCGCUUACCACUUUGUGAUUCAUGACUGGGGUGAAGUCGUAACAAGGUAACCGUAGGGGAACCUGCGGUUGGAUCACCUCCUUACCUUAAAGAAGC